rnacentral:rRNA from 1 species
CUCUGAUGCAGCCAUGCCGCGUGCAGGAUGACGGCCCUACGGGUUGUAAACCGCUUUUUUACAAGAAGAAACCUUGGUAACGUGUACCAGAUUGACCGGACUGUACCAAUAAAGAACGCCUAACUCCAUGCCAGCAGCCGCGGUAAU